GUAUUGUAUGAAAAGACAGAAGCUUAGCACUCCUCUUGACAAGGAUGGAUGAGGCCCUCGGACCUUACAACAAGCAUACAGUUAAGGCAUUGCCACCUACUUUGUGGCACCUAACCACAGGUUUUG
ensembl:snRNA U6atac minor spliceosomal RNA